rnacentral:rRNA from 1 species
GACGAACGCUGGCGGCGUGCUUAACACAUGCAAGUCGAACGAUGAAGCCGGAGCUUGCUCCGGUGGAUUAGUGGCGAACGGGUGAGUAACACGUGAGCAAUCUGCCCUUGACUCUGGGAUAACUGCGGGAAACUGUAGCUAAUACCGGAUACGACACCUUGGGGCAUCCCAGGGUGUGGAAGGAAUUUCGGUCAAGGAUGAGCUCGCGGCCUAUCGGCUAGUUGGUGAGGUAAUGGCUCACCAAGGCGACGACGGGUAGCCGGCCUGAGAGGGUGACCGGCCACACUGGAACUGAGGCACGGUCCAGACUCCUACGGGAGGCGGCAGUGGGGAAUAUUGCACAAUGGGCGAAAGCCUGAUGCAGCAACGCCGCGUGAGGGAUGAAGGCCUUCGGGUUGUAAACCUCUUUUAGCAGGGAAGAAGCGAAAGUGACGGUACCUGCAGAAAAAGCACCGGCUAACUACGUGCCAGCAGCCGCAGUAA